rnacentral:lncRNA from 1 species
GGCCCGGUGCCACCACCACCACUGGAGGCCUGACGAUGCCUGACGAUGCCUCACGCGGCAACCCACUCUCUGUGCUAUGACUUCAUUACUCUUUCCCAGCCCAGCCCUGGGCAAGCCCCUUACGAAGUCUCAGGCUACCUGGAUGACCACCCUUUCUUAUGAUGCUGCAAGGAGGGCAGGUGGGCAGAGCCCCGUGCAUCCUGGGCUCAGGCCAGGGACCCAAGAGCUUGGGAGAAGCUGGUUCUCAGACUGAAGGCCAGAGCCCAGCACCUUGUCACCAUCCCGGGGAGCAUCA